CCUACGGGAGGCUGCAGUGAGGAAUAUUGGUCAAUGGACGAGAGUCUGAACCAGCCAAGUAGCGUGAAGGAUGACUGCCCUAUGGGUUGUAAACUUCUUUUAUAUGGGAAUAAAAUGUUCCACGUGUGGGAUUUUGUAUGUACCAUAUGAAUAAGGAUCGGCUAACUCCGUGCCAGCAGCCGCGGUAAUACGGAGGAUCCGAGCGUUAUCCGGAUUUAUUGGGUUUAAAGGGAGCGUAGGUGGAUUGGUAAGUCAGUUGUGAAAGUUUGCGGCUCAACCGUAAAAUUGCAGUUGAAACUGGCAGUCUUGAGUACAGUAGAGGUGAGCGGAAUUCGUGGUGUAGCGGUGAAAUGCUUAGAUAUCACGAAGAACUCCGAUUGCGAAGGCAGUUCACUGGACUGCAACUGACACUGAGGCUCGAAAGUGUGGGUAUCAAACAGGAUUAGAUACCCGUGUAGUC
rnacentral:rRNA from 1 species